CCAAAAACUCAUGGAUUCUCAGAAUGUUUAUAGUGCUGAUGCAGUUAAAAAUUAUAUGCAUUUUCAUCACUUUGUAUCAACAUUGUCAGUAGUUAUUAACUUGGUGUGCUUAUAUUCUUGUUUUUGAUGUGAAGGUUAACUUAGUGAAUGAUGGUCUGGUGACAAUGCAGCUUGAAUAAAGGGAAUCAUCUUAAAUAGUUGCAAUAAAGAUCAAGAGCCAUUAUUAUUAGUAUGAGGGAGGGUUGUCAUUCUCCCAGUCACAACCACAGAGGAGGAACCAUGGCUGGAGCCCUGAUGUUGCUGCUUCCCCUUCUCUUUCCAACUCUUUUCACUCCUUUCAGCCAUGCCUUUCCCUCAGUUCUCUCGUUGAUUCAUGCAUGCAUUCUGUAUCUCUUGCCCUUGAGAAGGCCCUGAAGGAUACAAGGGAGGGAGUAUCUGCUUCCUGUUGGAAUCAUAUUAAAGGUAACAUGUAUUUUCAUGUCUCUUUUGGGGUUUCUAUUAUUUUGAAUUACUCUUAAAGUUUCUCUAUACUUGUUGUAUGUGUUACAAAUAAGUGUAAACUUGAAAAUGUUUUGGCUUUUUAUUUAUUGAUGGAAACUUAUCAGCUUUUACUGUUUGUAAUUUAGAGUUGAGUGACUAUGUAAUACUGUAAAACAUUCUGUAAAGAAGAGUUUGGAACAGCAUACUUGGCGCCGGUGGCGAUGCUUUUGAGCAUGAGGCAACUAGAAGAAUGCGUAAUAAAUUUAUGGUAGCUUGGGAUGGCUUGAGGUCAAAAGACAACCAGAGAAUCAUAGCAGGUUGAUUAACUAGUUCUUGAGGACUUGGUGCUAGAAACAUUGUAUGAUAGAUUUUUGUUUUAGCUAUAAGGUAGUUGGUAUACUUGAUAUUUGGUUCAUUUGUAUAAUAAUGUAUGAAUUUUUUGGAUGAU